UACGGAAGGCAGCAGUGGGGAAUAUUGCACAAUGGGCGCAAGCCUGAUGCAGCCAUGCCGCGUGUAUGAAGAAGGCCUUCGGGUUGUAAAGUACUUUCAGUCGUGAGGAAGGUGUUAAGGUUAAUAACCUUAGCAAUUGACGUUAGCGACAGAAGAAGCACCGGCUAACUCCGUGCCAGCAGCCGCGGUAAUACGGAGGGUGCGAGCGUUAAUCGGAAUUACUGGGCGUAAAGGGCACGCAGGCGGUUAAUUAAGUUGGAUGUGAAAUCCCCGGGCUUAACCUGGGAAUGGCAUUCAAGACUGGUUAGCUAGAGUCUUGUAGAGGGGGUAGAAUUCCAUGUGUAGCGGUGAAAUGCGUAGAGAUGUGGAGGAAUACCGGUGGCGAAGGCGGCCCCUGGACAAAGACUGACGCUCAUGUGCGAAAGCGUGGGGAGCAAACGGGGAUUAGAUACC
rnacentral:rRNA from 1 species